rnacentral:lncRNA from 1 species
AUGCCUUCAAUUCAUUAGGAGCCGCCCACUUGGUAAAACUUGGUCACUGAUCAGAGUAGUGGCUGGUUGGGUAGUUAACAACACCUCCUUGAAGCAAGUAUGAACAAGUUUACCCUCUUCUUAAGGCACAUGAUUUUGAAAAUGUUAUACCUUUGUUGUGUACAUAUAUAUUUUUCAGCAAGUCUGUGUUUAGAGUUCAAACCUUAGAAGACCAUUGACCCUUUUGUGAACUCAUUCAUGAGUUUAGGCACAUGAUUUUGAAAAUG